rnacentral:rRNA from 1 species
ACGGCUCAGUAACACGUGGAUAACCUGCCCUUGGGUCCGGCAUAACCCCGGGAAACUGGGGAUAAUACCGGAUAACGCAUAUAUGCUGGAAUUCUUUAUGCGUGAAAUGGAUUCGUCUGCCCAAGGAUGGGUCUGCGGCCUAUCAGGUAGUAGUGGGUGUAAUGUACCUACUAGCCGACGACGGGUACGGGUUGUGAGAGCAAGAGCCCGGAGAUGGAUUCUGAGACAUGAAUCCAGGCCCUACGGGGCGCAGCAGGCGCGAAAACUUUACAAUGCGGGAAACCGUGAUAAGGGGACACCGAGUGCCAGCAUCAUAUGCUGGCUGUCCGGGUGUGUAAAAUACACCUGUUAGCAAGGGCCGGGCAAGACCGGUGCCAGCCGCCGCGGUAACACCGGCGGCCCGAGUGGUGAUCGUGAUUAUUGGGUCUAAAGGGUCCGUAGCCGGUUUGGUCAGUCCUCCGGGAAAUCUGACGGCUUAACCGUUAGGCUUUCGGGGGAUACUGCCAGACUUGGAACCGGGAGAGGUAAGAGGUACUACAGGGGUAGGAGUGAAAUCUUGUAAUCCCUGUGGGACCACCUGUGGCGAAGGCGUCUUACCAGAACGGGUUCGACGGUGAGGGACGAAAGCUGGGGGCACGAACCGGAUUAGAUACCCGGGUAGUCCCAGCCGUAAACGAUGCUCGCUAGGUGUCAGGCAUGGCGCGACCGUGUCUGGUGCCGCAGGGAAGCCGUGAAGCGAGCCACCUGGGAAGUACGGCCGCAAGGCUGAAACUUAAAGGAAUUGGCGGGGGAGCAC